rnacentral:rRNA from 1 species
UAAUACGGAGGGUGCAAGCGUUAAUCGGAAUUACUGGGCGUAAAGCGUGCGUAGGUGGUUUGUUAAGUUAGAUGUGAAAGCCCUGGGCUCAACCUAGGAACUGCAUUUAAAACUGGCAAACUAGAGUAUAGGAGAGGAAAGUGGAAUUUCAGGUGUAGCGGUGAAAUGCGUAGAUAUCUGAAGGAACAUCAAUGGCGAAGGCAGCUUUCUGGACUAAUACUGACACUGAGGUACGAAAGCGUGGGUAGCAAACAGGAUUAGAUACCCUGGUAGUCCACGCCGUAAACGAUGACAACUAGCCGUUGGGAGGAUUUACCUCUUAGUGGCGAAGCUAACGCGUUAAGUUGUCCGCCUGGGGAGUACGGCCGCAAGGUUA